GUUCAUUCCACCCGUCGCCUACUAUAACGGGAUGGCGGUCUAUCCGCUGGUCUUUCAACCUGCUAUUAACUCGUCGUUGAUGAUUUGUUUAUCACCUGUGAUGUUUUGUUUGUUACUUGUUACCUUGAUUCACCGAUAUGUCAGCAGUCACUAAAUGCGACACUCAUUGCACUUUUUAGACAUAUAUCAAUGCAAGUUAUAGAAAAC
rnacentral:sRNA from 1 species